rnacentral:rRNA from 1 species
CGCUCCUUGAAUUAUAAACAUAGGGAGUCCUGCCUGCCCAGUGACUAGAGGUUAAACGGCCGCGGUAUCUUGACCGUGCGAAGGUAGCAUAAUCAUUUGUCUCCUAAAUAGAGACUAGUAUGAAUGGCAAGACGGAACAAAACUGUCUCUUUCUCACAACCCUGAAUUUCACUUCCCCGUGAAGAGGCGAGGAUAAAAUCGCUAGACGAGAAGACCCUGUCGAGCUUAAGCAGAAACCAAGCCCAUAAUCUAUUUACUCUGCUCUAAUUAAUAAUACUAAUCAGAAGUGAAUUCUUAUUUUUUUUGGCAAAAGCUUUGGUUGGGGCAACCGCGGAGCAAAACAACCCUCCGCUAAUAAAAUACUAUAUAAAAGAGUAACAACUCUAGAAUCAAACUGAAACUAAUGAUCCACUAAGGUGAUCAAAGGAACAAGUUACCGCAGGGAUAACAGCGUUAUCUUUUCUGAGAGUUCACAUUGACGAAAAGGUUUGCGACCUCGAUGUUGGAUCGGGACAUCCUAAGGGUGCAGAAGCUUUUAAGGGUUGGUCUGUUCGACCAUUAAAGUCCUACGUGAUCUGAGUUCAGACCGGCGAAAGC